UUACGGUCAAAUCACGCUGAAAACACCGGUUCUCGUUCGAUCACCGAAGUUAAGCAUCGUAGAGCCAGGUCCGGUACUUAGAUGGGGACCGCUUGGGAACACCUGGUACUGUAAG